rnacentral:rRNA from 1 species
UUGGUCAUUUAGAGGAAGUAAAAGUCGUAACAAGGUUUCCGUAGGUGAACCUGCGGAAGGAUCAUUAAAAAAUAAUCACAGUUUUGUGAUUUUAAUAAUCAUCCUACCCUUUGUGAAUUUGUUUUGUAAAGAAAAUUUAUGUUGUCUAUCCCUGGUGGUUUUUUUGGAAAAGUUGAAAAACUUUUUCGAAUCCCAGGGACUAGGCUUUCAUAGACCUUUUUUUAAAUUAAACUUUUUGUAUUCAUUUGUCUAAAUUUAUUUUUAAUAAUUUAAAAACAACUUUUGACAAUGGAUCUCUUGGUUCUCGCAACGAUGAAGAACGCAGCAAAAUGCGAUAAGUAAUGUGAAUUGCAGAAUACGUGAAUCAUCAAAUCUUCGAACGCAUAUUGCACUUUUCUAGUUUACUAGAAAAGUAUGUCUGUUUGAGUAUCAGUAAAAUAUUCUCAUAAAAAACAUUGUUUUUUAUGGUUAUGAGUGUUUUACAACGAUAAACAAGUUGUUUCACUUUAAAUUGAUUUUUAAAAGCCAAUUUGGUUUUAUCUAAUAAAAUUGGAUAAAAUUUUCCCGUAAAAAGGAAUAAACUUUUCAGUUUUAAAAGGUAAAACUUUUAAUUGAGCCUAAUUAAAAGGAAAUUUAACAAAAUAACUUGAUCUCAAAUCAGAUAAGAGUACCCGCUGAACUUAAGCAUAUCAAUAAGCGAAGA